CCUACGGGAGGCAGCAGUGAGGAAUAUUGGUCAAUGGACGAGAGUCUGAACCAGCCAAGUAGCGUGAAGGAUGACUGCCCUAUGGGUUGUAAACUUCUUUUAUAUGGGAAUAAAACGUUCCACGUGUGGGAUUUUGUAUGUACCAUAUGAAUAAGGCUCGGCUAACUCCGUGCCAGCAGCCGCGGUAAUACGGAGGAUCCGAGCGUUAUCCGGAUUUAUUGGGGUUAAAGGGAGCGUAGGUGGAUUGUUAAGUCAGUUGUGAAAGUUUGCGGCUCAACCGUAAAAUUGCAGUUGAAACUGGCAGUCUUGAGUACAGUAGAGGUGGGCGGAAUUCGUGGUGUAGCGGUGAAAUGCUUAGAUAUCACGAAGAACUCCGAUUGCGAAGGCAGUUCACUGGACUGCAACUGACACUGAGGCUCGAAAGUGUGGGUAUCAAACAGGAUUAGAUACCCUAGUAGUC
rnacentral:rRNA from 1 species